UCUGGCCAAGGAACUCGGCAAAAUAACCCCGUAACUUCGGAAGAAGGGGUGCUCUCUAGGGUGACAUGUUUAACAUAUGAAGCCCCGGGGAGCCGCAGUGAAUUGGUGGUGGCGACUGUUUACUAAAAACAUAGGUCUGUGCGAAGUCCUAAAGACGACGUAUACGGACUGACGCCUGCCCGGUGCUGGAAGGUUAAAAGGAGGGGUCAGCGCAAGCAAAGCUCCGAAUUGAAGCCCCAGUAAACGGCGGCCGUAACUAUAACGGUCCUAAGGUAGCGAAAUUCCUUGUCGGGUAAGUUCCGACCUGCACGAAUGGCGUAACGAUCUCCACACUGUCUCGGCCAGAGACUCGGUGAAAUUGCAGUCGCGGUGAAAAUUCCGUGUACCCGCAGAAAGACGGAAAGACCCUGUGCACCUUUACUAUAGCUUGACAUUGGAUUUUGGGCCUGCAUGUGUAGGAUAGGUGGGAGGCUGUGAACCCUGUACGCCAGUAUGGGGGGAGCCAUCCUUGAAAUACCACCCUUGCAUGUUUAAGAUCCUAACUUCUUCCGGUUAUCCCGGAGAAAGACAGUGUCUGGCGGGUAGUUUGACUGGGGCGGUCGCCUCCUAAAGUGUAACGGAGGCAUGCAAAGGUUCCCUCAGCCUGAUCGGAAACCAGGCGCUGAGUGCAAACGCAUAAGGGAGCUUGACUGUAAGAGAGACAUCUCGAACAGGAACGAAAGUUGGCGUUAGUGAUCCGGUGGUCCCGAAUGGAAGGGCCAUCGCUCAUUGGAUAAAAGGUACGCCGGGGAUAACAGGCUGAUCGCAUCCAAGAGUUCACAUCGACGAUGCGGUUUGGCACCUCGAUGUCGGCUCAUCACAUCCUGGGGCUGAAGCAGGUCCCAAGGGUACGGCUGUUCGCCGUUUAAAGUGGUACGCGAGCUGGGUUUAAAACGUCGUGAGACAGUUUGGUCCCUAUCUUCUGUGGGCGAAGGAGAAUUGAGAGGGCCUGUCCCUAGUACGAGAGGACCGGGAUGGACGCACCCCUGGUGAUCCUGUUGUCGCGCCAGCGGCAUAGCAGGGUAGCUAUGUGCGGAAGGGAUAACCGCUGAAAGCAUCUAAGCGGGAAGCCUGCCUCAAGAUAAGUUCUCCCCUCGAAAGAGCUGAAGGGCCCGGGUAGACUACCCGGUCGAUAGGCUGGAGGUGUAAGCGCGGCGACGUGCUCAGCUGACCAGUACUAAUAGCCCGAGCGGCUUAUUUUU
rnacentral:rRNA from 1 species